UUAUCUACCCUCAGAGUAAAGAAGUUCCUCCUCACCUCGUUUCUAAAAGAGUGUCUUUUAAUUCUGAGGUUAUGACCUCUGGUCCAAGACUCUCCCACCAGUGGAAACAUCCUUUCCACAUCCACUCUAUCUAUACCUUUCAUUGUUAUGUAAGUUUCAAUGAGGUCCACCCUCAACCUUCGAAACUCCAGCGAGCAGAGGCCCAUGGCUGUCAAGCGCUCAUAAUAUGCUAAGGCACUCAUUUCUGGAA